GGAAGGAUCAUUAUCGUACAACGGAGGCACAAUGGCUGUCGCUGACCUUCAAAGGUCGUGCACGCUCGAGUGCUCUCACACAUCCAUCUCACCCCUUUGUGCAUCGACGCGUGGGUUCCCUUUGAAAAGGGGGAGGCCCACGUUUUUCCACACAAACUUCAAAGUCACGUAGAAUGUACAUUUCUUUGUUUUGCGGUUCCACGCAAAAAAAAAUCUAUACAACUUUCAACAACGGAUCUCUUGGCUCUCGCAUCGAUGAAGAACGCAGCGAAAUGCGAUACGUAAUGUGAAUUGCAGAAUUCAGUGAAUCAUCGAAUCUUUGAACGCACCUUGCGCCCCUUGGCAUUCUGAGGGGCACACCCGUUUGAGUGUCGUGAAAUUCUCAAAACCCUUUUCUUUUGAUGGAGAAAAGGAUUUUGGACUUGGAGGACCAGUGCUCGCUUUCUUGUUUCGAAGGUGAGCUCCUCUCAAAGGAAUUAGUGGGGGGUUUGCUUUGCUUAUCCUUGACGUGAUAAGUUGUUUCUACGUUUUGGAUACAGCACUGUGCCCGCUUCCAAUCGUCCUUGCAGACAAAAGGUGGUGUCUCGGUCGCUUGGCCAGACCACAAAG
rnacentral:rRNA from 1 species